rnacentral:rRNA from 1 species
CGAUAAUGACGGUACCCGCAGAAGAAGCCCCGGCUAACUUCGUGCCAGCACCGCGGUAAUACGAAGGGGGCGAGCGUUGUUUGGAAUUUUUGGGCGUAAAGGGCGCGUAGGGGGAUCGUUAAGUCAGGGGUGAAAUCCCGGGGCUCAACCUCGGAACUGCCCUUUAUACUGCCGAUCUAGAGUAUGAGAGAGGGGGGUGGAAUUCCGAGUGUAGAGGUGAAAUUCGUAGAUAUUUGGAGGAACACCAGUGGCGAAGGCGCCCCCCUGGCUCAAUACUGACGCUGAGGCGCGAAAGCGUGGGGAGCAAACAGGAUUAGAUACCCCGGUAGUCCACGCCCUAAACGAUGUAAGCUAGCG